rnacentral:rRNA from 1 species
UACGUAGGUGGCAAGCGUUGUCCGGAAUUAUUGGGCGUAAAGCGCGCGCAGGCGGUCCCUUAAGUCUGAUGUGAAAGCCCACGGCUCAACCGUGGAGGGUCAUUGGAAACUGGGGGACUUGAGUACAGAAGAGGAAAGCGGAAUUCCACGUGUAGCGGUGAAAUGCGUAGAGAUGUGGAGGAACACCAGUAGCGAAGGCGGCUGACUGGUCCGGUUCUGACGCUGAGGCGCGAAAGCGUGGGGAGCAAACAGG